AUUGAACGCUGGCGGCAGGCCUAACACAUGCAAGUCGAACGAGUGGCGGACGGGUGAGUAAUGUCUGGGAAACUGCCUGAUGGGGGGGGAUAUCUACUGGAAACGGUAGCUAAUACCGCAUACCAUCGGAUGUGCCCAGAUGGGAUUAGCUUGUUGGUGGGGUAACGGCUCACCAAGGCGACGAUCCCUAGCUGGUCUGAGAGGAUGACCAGCCACACUGGGACUGAGACACGGUCCAGACUCCUACGGGAGGCAGCAGUGGGGAAUAUUGCACAAUGGGCGCAAGCCUGAUGCAGCCAUGCCGCGUGUAGGAAGAAGGCCUUCGGGUUGUAAAGUACUUUCAGCAGGGAGGCGUUACCCGAAGAAGAAGCACCGGCUAACUCCGUGCCAGCAGCCGCGGUAAUUC
rnacentral:rRNA from 1 species